UACGUAAGUGGCGAGCGUUAUCCGGAAUUACUGGGCGUAAAGCGUGCGCAGGCGGUUUUGUAAGCCAGAUGUGAAAUCCCCGGGCUUAACCUGGGAAUGGCAUUUGGGACUGCAAGGCUGGAGUUUGGCAGAGGAGACUGGAAUUCCCGGUGUAGCAGUGAAAUGCGUAGAUAUCGGGAGGAAUACCGAUGGCGAAGGCAGGUCUCUGGGCUAUAACUGACGCUCAUGCACGAAAGCGUGGGGAGCAAACAGG
rnacentral:rRNA from 1 species